UACUACUUACUUAAUGUCCACCGACGGGGUCUAGCAUUUGAGGCAAAAGAGAAGAUUCGUUUGGAGGCACAAAAAAAAAAAAAAGAAGAUUUCUAGAAUCUCCGGUGAAUGAAUGAAUGAAUCAUAGACGAAAUGUUUGUGUAAAAUAUUCUGUGGAUGUGAUGUUUGCUUGCACUUGCUCUUUCUCUCUCUUUUUCAACCGCUUCUUGUCUCA